rnacentral:tRNA from 1 species
GGUGGCUUAGUGGUAGAGCACAUGCCUUGCAUGCGUGAGGCCCUGAGUUCCAUUCCUCAGCACCA